CGGAGAGCUUUAAACCCCAACACCCUGUCCUACUUCUAUACACACACACACACACACAAGUAUAUACACAUACACACAUUCCAAGAGAAAGGGAUGGGAGCGUGACAAUCGGGAAACAACGGCUGUUAGUUACAGAAAAUGCAUUACGGCGUGAGCCCGGGCAGCAGAGCGGAGGAGAGGAAGUGGUGGGAUUAUGCCGGGCUUGGACAAGGAGAGCAUAGGGUUAUUUCCUCCCCCUCUCUGUAGUAAACUGUCCAGAUUUACAAGCCCUCCAGGGAUACGGAUACCCCAUCCUUGUCUCGUCAAACCUCGACAGCUCCUGAUUUAAAAAUAAUCCUAAAUCAGUGCAUGACAGUUGUCAGUGGGGCAGAAGGAGGUCAGAGGAGCCAUCAAGAGAGGAGAAGAAGAAGCAAAUCGCAUAAGGCAAUGAGUUUUUGUUAGAUAAGAGAUAAGCCUCAUGCGGACUGUGUAUUUAAAGAUUAUUGGCUUUAACGUAGUGAUUUUGGAGGGUUUAUGACACUUUUCCUACACUGACAUUAUUUUUCUGAGCUUUGUGCUAAUGGAUGUUGAUUUACGACAGGUUACUGAGGUGUAGUGGAACUUUCCAGGAACCAGUAAAACACCUUCUCCUAAUUAUACAACUCAUAAGACAGUAACAUGACAAAUAUCGCGUGUGCUUGCAUAAAGUUUAGAGAGUCGAAUAAAUUUGCAGGUGAUAGCUUUUGUUCACUUGCUUUGUGUAGAGCAUGAAUGGAGUAGAAACAGUCUGUGCAUAUUGAAGAAAUGAAAAGGGCUUAUAUUUCAAAUGAGUUUUUCAGGUGACUGUCUGUUUUCAAGUAGCUCACGUUUAAUCUCCUCAUCUGAACCAUUGUCUCAUCGCCAUGAAGGGGUCUCAAGAUAAAUCUGAAAGAGAAAUUGUGUCUUAAUUCUCUCACAUCGGUCCUCUGAUUUGAAAUUAUGGAUAAUUUGACCUUUUCAAAGAAACAAAUUCAAGGAGGGAAUAUUUGGUUGAGCUGCUCACGACUCAUGAAGCAUAAGCAAACCUGUGUCCUUGUUUAUUUAUAACCUGGGUCUUCAUAGUUUUGGCCAUCAUUUGUCCACCAGUAAUGAUGUUGUACACGCCAAGUUCAUUGCUGAAAUUUGAGAAUGAGGUCAUAUCACUGGAAGGUCUGAUGGGGGCAAAAAGACGAGUGGUCACAUGAUCUGAAAGAAACCUAAUCCAAACUUAUUUGGAAUAGAAAACAAAGGUAAAUGGCAAAAUUAAUAACCCAAACUUUGACCUACUGUACUUGCCGUAGUUGUGUUCACACAGUUUUCCUGUCUAAUGUGAUUUCUUUCAACAUUUUGGGUGCGUUUACUUUUGGUUUCACCUCCAAAUAAAGUCCCGUAAAGUGAUUAUAUAAUCUGGAUAAACUGCUGACUCAAGAUCAAAACUCAAGUUCAGAUAAACCAGAAUUCUCCUUUAAGAGGUAGCAAGGCAAAAAGGUUGGGAACCACAGUAAAAAAAAUCAAGCUGUGUGAGCUCCCCAGGCUAGCACUACAGUAUCUCUCUUCUUCUUUGUCUUCCUAAUCUGUAAGAGAGAACAUAUUUCUCCCUGUCGCCCUCGUAGCAGUAAAUAACAGCAUUUCACUAUCUCCCAUCCCUCCCGUUCCAGCUACUGUUGAUGUAUGUUUUUUUUACUGUGGCAGCAUCACCUCAAACCGGAUACGCCGCGGCUGCUCUCCGAUGCCUCUCCUGUGAUCACCACAGGCCUCGGAAGACCCCUUCAACAGAAACAGGAAGCAGUUCAUAGCACGGGUCGCGACCCCUCUCAUUCAGCCCCAUGAGUCAAGCGGAGCCCACCCCGGCGAAACACAGGAAAGUUCCGGUCCCAUCAACAAGGUGUCGCUCCUAUGAUGAACCUACAGAGAGUAAUCACCCAGUUCUGCAGUUUCCCUUCAUCUCUGAUGGACAUUAAACAUUCCCGGUUGAAUCAUCAGUAUGAAAGAUGCAACUGUGUUACAAAGUAUAUAGUUCUUUUAGAAAAAGCUGAAACCUGGGUACGAACAUACUACAGUUACCGAGCAUUUAACAUCUAAUCAGCAAGCUUUAAAUUCAGCUUACAGUUGGCAGAAGCUUAAGUUUACACUGUUUGGAUAAUUAAUCCACAGACCAGUUGAAAAAAAAACCUUUUUGGAUAAAUUGCGUUUAAAUUUUGGUUGAAUUCGGCAACUAAGGAGUCAUGUUUUAUUCCCAUCUGAAAAAAAAAAGGUGUCUUGAAUUUCCUACCACUUUAAUUUACACCUUUGAUUGGCUUCUUUUCCAUACCAACUGCUGAGGACAAUGGAUAUUUAGAGUAUUUAGAACAAUCUGCCAUUCCAAAUUGCUGUAAAACAAACAUUUUUAAAAAGUUGAAAUGGUUAAAACUGAUGGUCAUAAACAAUUAUCCAGGAUACUCCUCUGUUUUGAUGGAACAUUGAGGAAAUUAUUACAAUAAAAUGUUUACAGUGGCAAAAAUACAUCUGGAAUCAGCGUCUCCUCCCCCUUUGUGACUUUAUGAACCUUUUCAGCCUGUUUUAGCUUAGUGUUUUGGUUUUGAGGCCCAUAGACUAACUGCUUAUUCAGCAACAGGGGAAGGCAGUUAGUCUUUGAUAAACCACCUGUACGCUAUCAGCACCGAACAGCAGCCAGACAAAGUUACCGCUGAGCUUUCAUAGAGGAGCAUCUAGCGAGAUAAACAGCCAAAUAUUUUUUGCUCAGGAGCACAGGGCUAAAAGGAGAAUGAAUAUCGCUCUCACAUCCAUCAGCUGGACAGAAAACGAAUGAAUGCUGAUGUUGCUAUGUGUCUCUUAGAAGGUGAUAAUACGUCAGAUGUUGUACUUCCAGCUUGUUCUGCUGCCCCCAAAUGACCAAGAACGUAAUUCUGCUUUAAGGAUUUGUCAGAAAAGGAGCGAUUGUUAUUAAACGCUUUGUUUUCUUGAUCACA